rnacentral:rRNA from 1 species
UACGUAGGGUGCAAGCGUUGUCCGGAAUUAUUGGGCGUAAAGAGCUCGUAGGCGGUCUGUCGCGUCUGCUGUGAAACCUAGGGCUUAACUCUGGGCGUGCAGUGGGUACGGGCAGGCUAGAGUGCGGUAGGGGAGACUGGAAUUCCUGGUGUAGCGGUGAAAUCGCAGAUAUCAGGAGGAACACCGAUGGCGAAGGCCAGGUCUCUGGGCAUUAACUGACGCUGAGGAGCGAAAGCAUGGGGGAGCGAACAGG